rfam:Dipodomys ordii contig_45488, whole genome shotgun sequence.
UUCUUUUUGUGGUUUAUAAGCCUGAUGAUUGGGUUUUCACACUGCUGUCUGAGCUAGGCCUCCCUUAAACUUUGUCAUAACUUUGGCACAUUACCCACUGACA